UACGUAGGGUGCGAGCGUUGUCCGGAAUUAUUGGGCGUAAAGCGCGCGCAGGCGGUUCCUUAAGUCUGAUGUGAAAGCCCCCGGCUCAACCGGGGAGGGUCAUUGGAAACUGGGGAACUUGAGUACUGAAGAGGAAAGCGGAAUUCCACGUGUAGCGGUGAAAUGCGUAGAGAUGUGGAGGAAUACCGGUGGCGAAGGCGGCCUCCUGGCUUAAUACUGACGCUGAGGUGCGAAAGCGUGGGGAUCAAACAGG
rnacentral:rRNA from 1 species